UACGGGGGGGGCAAGCGUUGUUCGGAAUUACUGGGCGUAAAGGGCGCGUAGGCGGCCUUCUAAGUCAGACGUGAAAUCCCUCGGCUCAACCGAGGAACUGCGUCUGAUACUGGAAGGCUUGAAUCCGGGAGAGGGAUGUGGAAUUCCAGGUGUAGCGGUGAAAUGCGUAGAUAUCUGGAGGAACACCGGUGGCGAAGGCGGCAUCCUGGACCGGUAUUGACGCUGAGGCGCGAAAGCUAGGGAAGCAAACGGG
rnacentral:rRNA from 1 species